GUGAGUCAUCGAAUCUUUGAACGCACAUUGCGCCCAUUGGUAUUCCGAUGGGCAUGCCUGUUCGAGCGUCAUUAUCUUCCCUCACACCUCGGGUUUGGUGUUGGGCCGCGUUGGUCCUCCCGUGACCAACUGGCUCUAAAAACAAUGACGGCGUCCGUGGGACCCUCGGUGCAACGAGCUUCUAAGGAGCACGCGUCGAGUUUCAAGGACCUUCCGGGCCGGUCUCCUUCUAUGUCAUCACAAGGUUGACCUCGGAUCAGGUAGGAAUACCCGCUGAACUUAAGCAUAUCAAUAAGCGGA
rnacentral:misc_RNA from 1 species